rnacentral:rRNA from 1 species
AACGAACGCUGGCGGCAUGCCUAACACAUGCAAGUCGAACGAGACCUUCGGGUCUAGUGGCGCACGGGUGCGUAACGCGUGGGAACCUGCCCUUAGGUUCGGAAUAACUCCCCGAAAGGGUGCUAAUACCGGGUAAUGUCUUCGGACCAAAGAUUUAUCGCCUUUGGAUGGGCCCGCGUUGGAUUAGCUAGUUGGUAGGGUAAAAGCCUACCAAGGCGACGAUCCAUAGCUGGUCUGAGAGGAUGAUCAGCCACACUGGGACUGAGACACGGCCCAGACUCCUACGGGAGGCAGCAGUGGGGAAUAUUGGACAAUGGGCGAAAGCCUGAUCCAGCAAUGCCGCGUGAGUGAUGAAGGCCUUAGGGUUGUAAAGCUCUUUUACCCGGGAUGAUAAUGACAGUACCGGGAGAAUAAGCUCCGGCUAACUCCGUG